CCUACGGGUGGCAGCAGUGAGGAAUAUUGGUCAAUGGACGCAAGUCUGAACCAGCCAUGCCGCGUGCAGGAAGACGGCUCUAUGAGUUGUAAACUGCUUUUGUACGAGGGUAAACGCAGAUACGCGUAUCUGUCUGAAAGUAUCGUACGAAUAAGGAUCGGCCAACUCCGUGCCAGCAGCCGCGGCACUACGGAGGAUUCAAGCGUUAUCCGGAUUUAUUGGGUUUAAAGGGUGCGUAGGCGGUCGGAUAAGUUAGAGGUGAAAGCCCGGGGCUCAACUUCGGAAUGGCCUCUGAUACUGUUCGGCUAGAGGGUAGUUGCGGGAGGCGGAAUGUAUGGUGUAGCGGUGAAAUGCUUAGAGAUCAUACAGAACACCGAUUGCGAAGGCAGCUUACCAGGCUACUUCUGACGUUGAGGCACGAAAGCGUGGGGAGCAAACAGGAUUAGAUACCCGUGUAGUC
rnacentral:rRNA from 1 species